GUGGGGAAUAUUGGACAAUGGGCGAAAGCCUGAUCCAGCCAUGCCGCGUGUGUGAAGAAGGUCUUCGGAUUGUAAAGCACUUUAAGUUGGGAGGAAGGGCAGUAAGUUAAUACCUUGCUGUUUUGACGUUACCGACAGAAUAAGCACCGGCUAACUUCGUGCCAGCAGCCGCGGUAAUACGAAGGGUGCAAGCGUUAAUCGGAAUUACUGGGCGUAAAGCGCGCGUAGGAGGUUGUGUAAGUUGGAGGUGAAAUCCCCGGGCUCAACCUGGGAACUGCCUCCAAAACUGCAUGACUAGAGUACGGUAGAGGGUAGUGGAAUUUCCUGUGUAGCGGUGAAAUGCGUAGAUAUAGGAAGGAACACCAGUGGCGAAGGCGACUACCUGGACUGAUACUGACACUGAGGUGCGAAAGCGUGGGGAGCAAACAGGAUUAGAUACCCUAGUAGUCC
rnacentral:rRNA from 1 species